rnacentral:rRNA from 1 species
UACGUAGGGGGCAAGCGUUGUCCGGAAUCAUUGGGCGUAAAGAGCGCGUAGGCGGCCCUGUAAGUCCGCUGUGAAAGCCCCGAGCUCAACUUGGGAAUGGCAUUGGAAACUGGCGGGCUGGAGUGUGGCAGAGGGGGGUGGAAUUCCGCGUGUAGCAGUGAAAUGCGUAGAGAUGCGGAGGAACACCGAUGGCGAAGGCAGCCCCCUGGGCUAGCACUGACGCUCAGGCACGAAAGCGUGGGGAGCAAACAGG